rnacentral:rRNA from 1 species
UGGGGAAUAUUGCACAAUGGGCGCAAGCCUGAUGCAGCCAUGCCGCGUGUAUGAAGAAGGCCUUCGGGUUGUAAAGUACUUUCAGCGGGGAGGAAGGGAGUAAAGUUAAUACCUUUGCUCAUUGACGUUACCCGCAGAAGAAGCACCGGCUAACUCCGUGCCAGCAGCCGCGGUAAUACGGAGGGUGCAAGCGUUAAUCGGAAUUACUGGGCGUAAAGCGCACGCAGGCGGUUUGUUAAGUCAGAUGUGAAAUCCCCGGGCUCAACCUGGGAACUGCAUUUGAAACUGGCAAGCUAGAGUCUCGUAGAGGGGGGUAGAAUUCCAGGUGUAGCGGUGAAAUGCGUAGAGAUCUGGAGGAAUACCGGUGGCGAAGGCGGCCCCCUGGACGAAGACUGACGCUCAGGUGCGAAAGCGUGGGGAGCAAACA